rnacentral:misc_RNA from 1 species
AACGCACGAGACCUGCGGACCUGCGGAAGGAUCAUUAAUGAGAAGCCGCCCCUCGUGGGUAGACCUCCCACCCUCUGUGAACUUACCUUUGUUGCUUUGGCAGGCCCGUCCUCUGGACCGCCGGCUUCGGCUGGCCCGUGCCUGCCAGAGGAUUCCAAACCCUGUCUGUCAGUGUUGUCUGAGUCUAUAUGAAAUCGUUAAAACUUUUAACAAUGGAUCUCUAGAUCGGAAGAGCACACG